CACCUACGGGCGGCUGCAGUGGGGAAUCUUAGACAAUGGGGGAAACCCUGAUCUAGCCAUGCCGCGUGAUCGAUGAAGGCCUUAGGGUUGUAAAGAUCUUUCAGGUGGGAAGAUAAUGACUGUACCACCAGAAGAAGCCCCGGCUAACUCCGUGCCAGCAGCCGCGGUAAUACGGAGGGGGCUAGCGUUGUUCGGAAUUACUGGGCGUAAAGCGCACGUAGGCGGAUUGGAAAGUUGGGGGUGAAAUCCCGGGGCUCAACCCCGGAACUGCCUUCAAAACUCCCAGUCUUGAGUUCGAGAGAGGUGAGUGGAAUUCCGAGUGUAGAGGUGAAAUUCGUAGAUAUUCGGAGGAACACCAGUGGCGAAGGCGGCUCACUGGCUCGAUACUGACGCUGAGGUGCGAAAGCGUGGGGAGCAAACAGGAUUAGAUACCCUAGUAGUUGC
rnacentral:rRNA from 1 species